GAUGAACGCUGGCGGCGUGCUUAACACAUGCAAGUCGAACGAUGAAGCCCAGCUUGCUGGGUGGAUUAGUGGCGAACGGUUGAGUAACACGUGAGUAACCUGCCCUUAACUCUGGGAUAAGCCUGGGAAACUGGGUCUAAUACCGGAUAGGAGCGUCCACCGCAUGGUGGGUGUUGGAAAGAUUUAUCGGUUUUGGAUGGACUCGCGGCCUAUCAGCUUGUUGGUGAGGUAAUGGCUCACCAAGGCGACGACGGGUAGCCGGCCUGAGAGGGUGACCGGCCACACUGGGACUGAGACACGGCCCAGACUCCUACGGGAGGCAGCAGUGGGGAAUAUUGCACAAUGGGCGCAAGCCUGAUGCAGCGACGCCGCGUGAGGGAUGACGGCCUUCGGGUUGUAAACCUCUUUCAGUAGGGAAGAAGCGAAAGUGACGGUACCUGCAGAAGAAGCACCGGCUAACUACGUG
rnacentral:rRNA from 1 species